rnacentral:rRNA from 1 species
GACGAACGCUGGCGGCGUGCUUAACACAUGCAAGUCGAACGGAAAGGCCCUGCUUUUGUGGGUUGCUCGAGUGGCGAACGGGUGAGUAACACGUGAGUAACCUGCCCUUGACUUUGGGAUAACUUCAGGAAACUGGGGCUAAUACCGGAUAGGAGCUCCUGCUGCAUGGUGGGGGUUGGAAAGUUUCGGCGGUUGGGGAUGGACUCGCGGCUUAUCAGCUUGUUGGUGGGGUAGUGGCUGACCAAGGCUUUGACGGGUAGCCGGCCUGAGAGGGUGACCGGCCACAUGGGGACUGAGAGACGGCCCAGACUCCUACGGGAGGCAGCAGUGGGGAAUAUUGCACAAUGGGCGGAAGCCUGAGGCAGCAACGCCGCGUGCGGGAUGACGGCCUUCGGGUUGUAAACCGAUUUCGACUGUGACGAAGAGUGAGUGACGGUAAUGGGUAAAGAAGCACCGGCUAACUACGUG